rnacentral:rRNA from 1 species
CCUACGGGGGGCAGCAGUGGGGAAUAUUGCACAAUGGGGGAAACCCUGAUGCAGCGACGCCGCGUGAGUGAAGAAGUAAUUCGUUAUGUAAAGCUCUAUCAGCAGGGAAGAAAAUGACGGUACCUGAGUAAGAAGCCCCGGCUAACUACGUGCCAGCAGCCGCGGUAAUACGUAGGGGGCAAGCGUUAUCCGGAUUUACUGGGGGUAAAGGGAGCGUAGACGGCAGUGCAAGUCUGGAUGGAAAGGCGGGGGCUCAACCCCCGGACUGCUCUGGAAACUGUACGGCCGGAGUGCAGGAGAGGGAAGUGGAAUUCCUAGAGGAGCGGUGGAAUGCGUAGAUAUUAGGAGGAAAACCAGUGGCGAAGGCGGCUUACUGGACUGUAACUGACGUUGAGGCUCGAAAGCGUGGGGAGCAAACAGGAUUAGAUACCCCAGUAGUC